AACGAACGCUGGCGGCAUGCCUAACACAUGCAAGUCGAACGAGACCUUCGGGUCUAGUGGCGCACGGGUGCGUAACGCGUGGGAACCUGCCCUUAGGUUCGGAAUAACUCCCCGAAAGGGGUGCUAAUACCGGAUAAUGUCUUCGGACCAAAGAUUUAUCGCCUUUGGAUGGGCCCGCGUUGGAUUAGCUAGUUGGUAGGGUAAAAGCCUACCAAGGCGACGAUCCAUAGCUGGUCUGAGAGGAUGAUCAGCCACACUGGGACUGAGACACGGCCCAGACUCCUACGGGAGGCAGCAGUGGGGAAUAUGGGACAAUGGGCGAAAGCCUGAUCCAGCAAUGCCGCGUGAGUGAUGAAGGCCUUAGGGUUGUAAAGCUCUUGUACCCGGGAUGAUAAUGACAGUACCGGGAGAAUAAGCUCCGGCUAACUCCGUG
rnacentral:rRNA from 1 species